CAGUUGGUCCGAGGCAGUGAUUGUUACUGAAUAGAAAUAUCUGCCUCUCUAUGUUCCUAUGUGCUUGUUUUCUUAAACUUCGACUUGGACUCUGACUCAGUACAUGUAACUGAUGGCUGUUUUGCUUCUAGUCCUGAGUUCAGAGGCUAGAUCAGUUCUCCCCAGUUUCUGCCUCACCCCGUGGGAUCGGUUUGCAUCCUUGUCUCAGCAAAGCUUCCUCUUCCUCUCCAAGAGCUCUGAAGCAAGCCACAGCUGGCAACAUCUUGGUGUUCCAGCCUGGGAACAGGAACAGGGCAAUUUGAUCCACUUGGGAGAAGACAGCUGCCAACAAACGCCACCUGGGCGCUGUGGCCCCCGAGUAUGGCUCUUCAGUGUCCUGAGCUCCCAGUCCUUCAUCCUCACUGCCCUCCUGGCCUUUUCAUCCCGGUGUACCAAGAGCAUCUUACAUGUAAAAAGCCCAAGAGCUGGGAUUGGCCAAAACGAUGGGCCAAAUCCAACUUGCCUCCUCUGUUCGUAAAAAAGUUUUAUUGGAACACAGCCAUGCCCAUUCGUUUCUGUAUUGUCUAUACCUGCUUUUGCAUCAUACCAGCAAGGGUCCCGUAAUAAGGUUCGGGCUCCAGCGCCUGGUGAGCCAUCGCCCGGAAACACAUCUCAGGACUCCAAGGCUGAAGUCCGGUGUGCGCCCGAGUUCUGCUUAUUGCCCGGCUCGCUCUUGGCACUGGCUCAGGAGGCAGAAAUUCCAGGAAUCCUGGUUCCUCCUUCCCCUUGGCAUCCUCCUCAUCCUCCUCCCUGCCCCGCCCCCUUCUCCACCAAUCCUCAGGCCCCUCUCCCAUCUGGUGGACAAGUGGCCGGUUGUCACUGGGAUCUUUAUGUCUCUCUCGGGGGCAGCCACGUUGGGACCGGAUGGGGCUGUCGUGGGCAUGACACAGUGGUUUUGAGCGAAGCCUUCUGGGGUUACUUAGAGCAGCCAGGGGUGAGGGACGUUGGGGAGGCAGGCUAGGGGAGAGGCUCCCAUGCAAGCCAAGGACUCAGGCAGUGGGGGAUGAGAGGCAGAGUAUCCUGGGUGCCAAACUCCGGGGUGCUGCAGGUCUCGCCUACAGCAGCGUAAAGUAGGGGAGCUCCGAAAACAGUGAUGAGACCCCAGAGCUUCUUAGCAUCUCCUGAAGCAUCCCUGCCUCCCACUGCCCCUGUUCCUACCUUCCUUCUGGGGCCCACAGUCUCACGUAUGCACUGGUGCCAUUGCCUCCUAAAGGGCACAGAUGCCUGGGUGAGCUCUUGAAAAUGCUGCAGUGAUCAGGACACUUGCCUGGCUGAAGCCCUUCCAGGCAGAGUGCUUCAACUGCUUUUUGUUUCACACACUCCUCUAGCUGUCUGGUGAGGCCUGUGGACUUCAUCUUAGUAAAAUGUUUUUAAAUGCCUGAAAUAAAAUGU